rnacentral:miRNA from 1 species
CCUGAGCUCAUUUUGUAGCCCAGGCUGGUCUCAAACUCACAGGAUCCUCCUGCCUCAGCCUCCUGAGUGCUGGGAU